UUCUUGCUCACAUUCUUCUUGUGUUCAAAGUUCUUAACAAGAUAGUGUUUGAUUUUCUCAGCAAUUUUAACUCGGAGGUUAACUGUGUUCGAUUUUCUUGUCGCUGCGGUGGAAUUGUGGUGGGAGAAAGAGGGGAGAGGUAGAGGUGAUUUGUGCUCCAUUUUGAUUUACUAUUGGGUUCGUCAUCAGCCUGGAGAGUUUUGCAAGGGUUGUAUUUCAUAAAGACUGAGGCAGGAAAACCAUUUUUGAUUAAGUUGGCAUGCCAAGUUCUCGAAAUGGGUGCAAUUCCGCAGCUGGAGGGGCUACUACACUUCCAGCAACUACAACAACUGUCUGCCCCUUUUCAUUUGGGAUUCCGGUCUCUCAGUUUUCGCAAUUCAAAGCCCAGGCUCUUCAAUUGCUAGCUGCUAAAGCAAAUAAGCAGAGUUGAGAAUUUUAGAAGAAAAUGGUGCAAAUUUAGAACAAUUUAGAGUUUUCGACAAGGAGACGAAAAGUCAACAGUUGUCAACCAUGAUCAACAUGAGUGAGGAGGCCGAAUUCGAGUAUUUCAAGAUGAUGUCUUCCACUAUGCUUUAAGACCGGAGAAGGAAGAAAAAGAAUGAAGAAAAGAAACUAUUAAUUGAUUAAUUAGUGGCUUAAUUAAUUGAUGAUUGGCUUAAUUAAUUAACCCAUGAUUUGAUUAAUUAACCAUGAUUUGAUUAAUUAAUCCCAGCCAUGACGUGCAAGCAUCAUUGAUUUUGCUUAAUUGCUUUGAGCUAAUUGCAUGGGACACGUGGCAGCCAUCACGAAAUAUCCUUUUUUCCCUUCCUCAUGCACCCUACAGGCCUACACGUGCAAACUUUAUCUCACUCUCUCCUUACAAUCACAACCAGCCACACCCAUAUAUAUGGAUAAUCACUCUCUUCCAGAACAGUGCUGACCUGAGACACCUACAGUUGCCGCACCACCCCUAAAACAGAGGCAGCCCUUUUGGGCUGCUCUCUCUCUCUCUCUCCUCCAUCAUUUUUUUUAAUUUUCUUUAGUUUUAUUUUAGGGAUUUGAAGGAUUUACUCACCCAAAGCUUCAAAGAAUUCAUCAAGGGCUCAAUCUCCACAAGAUUUAAGAUUUGGGUAUUAUGUGGGAGUUAUAAUUCAAGAGUAGUCAUGUUGGCUUCCUAGCUAUUUGUGACUAUCCUUGUCUUCUCCUACACUUCUCUACUCUUUUCCCUUUGAAUUUUGUAUCUUUGAUGUUCAUAAUUAUGGGUUGUGAGUA